UACGGAGGGGACUAGCGUUGUUCGGAAUUACUGGGCGUAAAGCGCACGUAGGCGGAUUUGUAAGUCAGGGGUGAAAUCCCGGGGCUCAACCUCGGAACUGCCUUUGAUACUGCAAAUCUCGAGUCCGGAAGAGGUGAGUGGAAUUCCUAGUGUAGAGGUGAAAUUCGUAGAUAUUAGGAAGAACACCAGUGGCGAAGGCGGCUCACUGGUCUGGUACUGACGCUGAGGUGCGAAAGCGUGGGGAGCAAACAGG
rnacentral:rRNA from 1 species